GGGAAUGGCAUAUUCCAAAACCAUAUAAUGAGAAAGGGCAUACCUAUCCCCUUACUUAUUCGUCUUGAACUUCUUCCUGUGAGUAAGAUCCUAUGAGAUACCUCCUUCUAUAAGAGGAUAGGCGAGAUGCAUCUUAUAAGGGAGAGGUGCGAAAGGUACGAGAGUUGCUCGACAUCAAGGUUUGGAACACACCGACGAUUCGGGAGU
rnacentral:lncRNA from 1 species